AGAAUACAAAAACAGCCAUUCGUUAUUGAUAGAGAGAGUCUUAAAUGUUUACGGUCAAGUUGACAAGGCGUAUCAAGCUAUUGAUGUACGUAUAGUUGUUGUUGCCAUUGAUAUUCAAGAAAAUAUACCUGCAUUUACUCGAUUUUAUAACUAUAGUGGUUAUGAUACAGACUCGUUUAGUGAAUAUAUUUAUAAUGUAAUCAAAAAGACAUCAUCAUUUAAAAAUGUGAAUUUUGAUGCUGCCAUGUUUUUAAGUAAUAAUAGUUGGCCUGACGCAGUUGGAAGCACACGCUCAGAGAACAUAUGCGAGCCAGGCUGUACAAGUAUUAAUUAUUGGAACUAUGACAAAAUAAGCAGUACAGUACAUACAAUUGGUCAUGAAUUUGGUCACAAUUUAGGAUUUAGGCAUGAUGA
rnacentral:lncRNA from 1 species